UAUUUAAGAUAUAUGAAGCGAUAAAAUAUUUUUAGUAAAGUAUUAAUUCUGUUUUAAUUUAAUUCGGUGAGGUACUCUUAAAUGAAA
rnacentral:tRNA from 1 species